AAUGAACGUUGGCGGCAUGGAUUAGGCAUGCAAGUCGAGCGAGAAGUGUAGCAAUACACGGAAAGCGGCGGAAGGGAGAGUAAUACGUGGGAAUCUGCCCUUAGACCUGGGAUAGCAGCGGGAAACUGCUGGUAAUACCAGACAAUGUCUAUGGACCAAAGGUGUGAUUCCGUCCGGGGAUGAGCCCACGUCCUAUUAGCUAGUUGGCAGGGUAAUGGCCUACCAAGGCAAUGAUGGGUAGUGGGUGUGAGAGCAUGACCCGCCUCACUGGGACUGAGAACUGCCCAGACACCUACGGGUGGCUGCAGUCGAGAAUCUUCGGCAAUGAGCGCAAGCUUGACCGAGCGACGCCGCGUGCGGGAUGAAGGCCUUCGGGUUGUAAACCGCUGUCGUAGGGGAGCAAGAGAUGAGGGUACUCCCUCUGAUUUGAGCGAUCCUAGGAGGAAGGACGGGCUAAGUUCGUGCCAGCAGCCGCGGUAACAC
rnacentral:rRNA from 1 species